rnacentral:rRNA from 1 species
UGGGGAAUCUUGCACAAUGGGGGCAACCCUGAUGCAGCGACGCCGCGUGAGCGAUGAAGCCCUUCGGGGCGUAAAGCUCUUUCGACCGGAACGAUAAUGACGGUACCGGGAGAAGAAGCUGCGGCUAACUACGUGCCAGCAGCCGCGGUAAUACGUAGGCAGCAAGCGUUGUUCGGAGUUACUGGGCGUAAAGAGUGCGUAGGCGGUUUUCUAAGUUCGGUGUGAAAUCUCCCGGCUUAACUGGGAGGGUGCGCCGAAGACUGGGAAGCUGGAGUGUGGGAAAGGCAGGCGGAAUUCCUGGUGUUGCGGUGAAAUGCGUAGAUAUCAGGAGAAACACCGGCGGUGUAGACGGCUUGCUAGACCAUAACUGACGCUGAGGCACGAAAGCGUGGGUAGCAAACA